rfam:Lichtheimia corymbifera JMRC:FST:9682, FST 9682, WGS project CBTN01000000 data, contig: SCAF00028
GCAAACAUGACCGAGCGGUCUAAGGUGCCACGUUCAGGUCGUGGUCUCGAGAGAGGCGUGAGUUCGAAUCUCACUGUUUGCA